rnacentral:rRNA from 1 species
GACGAACGCUGGCGGCGUGCUUAACACAUGCAAGUCGAACGGUAAGGCCCUUCGGGGUACACGAGUGGCGAACGGGUGAGUAACACGUGGGUGAUCUGCCCUGCACUUCGGGAUAAGCCUGGGAAACUGGGUCUAAUACCGGAUAGGACCACUGCCUGCAUGGGUGGUGGGGGAAAGCUUUUGCGGUGUGGGAUGGGCCCGCGGCCUAUCAGCUUGUUGGUGGGGUGAUGGCCUACCAAGGCGACGACGGGUAGCCGGCCCGAGAGGGUGACCGGCCACACUGGGACUGAGAUACGGCCCAGACUCCUACGGGAGGCAGCAGUGGGGAAUAUUGCACAAUGGGCACAAGCCUGAUGCAGCGACGCCGCGUGAGGGAUGACGGCCUUCGGGUUGUAAACCUCUUUCAGCACCGACGAAGCGCAAGUGACGGUAGGUGCAGAAGAAGGACCGGCCAACUACGUGCCAGCCGCCGCCGUAACAC